AUAAUCACUAAACAUUUAUCAUGGCAUAUUAAUUAAUGUAAAAUUAACAAGAAUUAAUAAAGUCCUGCUAAGGCUAUGGUUUUGGAGAGAGAGAAGUGGAGAACACUGAAGCGUGUUUCUGACAGUAUCUUUGGGAAGGCAGUUCUGUGUAGGAGAAGCGGAUGAUGUGUGUGACUCAGUUUUCCUUUGGUGAGAUAUUGCCAAUUAAACACAGAGAAUGCAUAUCAUCAUGGGCACAUACGACAAAAUAAGUCACUGGCGCAGUAUUUUCAGUCUAGUUCAGUCUGAACGCCACCUUCUGCCUACUAGGGAAACAGGGAUGAGCCACUGGCAUGAGUUGGGUGUAGGAGUAAAACGUUGUUACUGGGAGUGCAUGGGCAUGCAUGCCUGCCUCAGGUAGACUUAAGAGGACCGAGAAAAGCCUGUCUUAAAAACCAAGACAAUUGUCUAAGCCUAAGACAGACAUUUUCUGAAGGUCUUUUGAGAAGAAAUAUAAUUUUGAUUUUUCCACUUGACUUAUGACUCUGCCCACUUGCAUUCCCUCACUAUCAGUGGGGCUCCUUAUUCAUCCUGGGAAUUCAUCAAAGGAUGACAGGCAAUAGGAAGCACUUACACCAUGUCUAUGUGAAUGUCCUCUGAUUCUCAGACUUCUGUUUUUGCAGCUGACAUCCUGGUUAUCUAACUCCCCAGUGUUAGGUACCCAUGCAAACACCUCUCUGAUGGUUUUAUGCCCAUGACACCAUCCCAAAGUAACACCCAGCAGUUCCUUUCUCCCUUAUCUAAAGAUCUUACCUCCCCCACAAGCCACAAGAGUUCUCUUCUGUACUUUCUACUUCUUCAAGCUCCUCCCAUCCCCAAGUUCCCAGUGGAUUUGAGGUUAAAAGAUCUCAAACCAAAGACUCCAAUGAGCUUCCUGUUUUAGACUUGGCUAAGAAGCUGUCUUAAGGCGAUAAAUCAAAGAACAGGCCUACCUUCUUUGAUGAAGGAGGGAAAAGGAGAGAAAACAGGAAGGAAGUCAACUUCAAUUAAUAUCUUAAAGUAUGUGACUGCUUUGGUCCUGACCUUGAAGGAGGAAGGCGGAGAGCGAAGCUCCAGGUUUUAAAGAUGACUCCAGAGUGUGCCACGUGGACAGUAAAAACUAACCAGAAUACUGGCUUGUGGAAAAACCACCUUUUCUUCACCUAUGGGAUGAUGAUCUACUUCAUAGUUAAAAUUAUCUGGACUUCUCUGAAGGAAAAUUGAGCAUUGCAGAUCCUUGUGGUCUCCACCCAUGGUCCUCCCUUCCUCAGUCACUAUUCUUUAGAGCCAUUCCUACAGCUAUCCUGGCUUCCCUGACCUCUGGUUGUCUUGAGCUGAUUUUGGAUGCUAAUGUUAAUGCUAAUGUGGCCAGAGUCGCAGAUCUUCUUUUCAGAAGGAACUUCUUGAUGGGGAAUCUUUGCCAACCACUUAUCUUUAAGAGGUGGAGCCAAGAGAGGGUGUGGCUUUCUGCUAUGGGAGAUGCCCUCUCUCUCUGUAUGGUUUCCCUAGCAGCACAGCUGAACUUGGACUUCUCGUUACUGUUCAGUGAGAUUUCCCCUGAUAAUAAAUAAAAAUAUAAUUGUUUUAUCUUUUA